rnacentral:rRNA from 1 species
GAUGAACGCUGGCGGCGUGCCUAAUACAUGCAAGUCGAGCGAACGGACGAGAAGCUUGCUUCUCUGAUGUUAGCGGCGGACGGGUGAGUAACACGUGGAUAACCUACCUAUAAGACUGGGAUAACUUCGGGGAACCGGAGCUAAUACCGGAUAAUAUUUUGAACCGCAUGGUUCAAAAGUGAAAGACGGUCUUGCUGUCACUUAUAGAUGGAUCCGCGCUGCAUUAGCUAGUUGGUAAGGUAACGGCUUACCAAGGCAACGAUGCAUAGCCGACCUGAGAGGGUGAUCGGCCACACUGGAACUGAGACACGGUCCAGACUCCUACGGGAGGCAGCAGUAGGGAAUCUUCCGCAAUGGGCGAAAGCCUGACGGAGCAACGCCGCGUGAGUGAUGAAGGUCUUCGGAUCGUAAAACUCUGUUAUUAGGGAAGAACAUAUGUGUAAGUAACUGUGCACAUCUUGACGGUACCUAAUCAGAAAGCCACGGCUAACUACGUGCCAGCAGCCGCGGUAAUACGUAGGUGGCAAGCGUUAUCCGGAAUUAUUGGGCGUAAAGCGCGCGUAGGCGGUUUUUUAAGUCUGAUGUGAAAGCCCACGGCUCAACCGUGGAGGGUCAUUGGAAACUGGAAAACUUGAGUGCAGAAGAGGAAAGUGGAAUUCCAUGUGUAGCGGUGAAAUGCGCAGAGAUAUGGAGGAACACCAGUGGCGAAGGCGACUUUCUGGUCUGUAACUGACGCUGAUGUGCGAAAGCGUGGGGAUCAAACAGGAUUAGAUACCCUGGUAGUCCACGCCGUAAACGAUGAGUGCUAAGUGUUAGGGGGUUUCCGCCCCUUAGUGCUGCAGCUAACGCAUUGAGCACUCCGCCUGGGGAGUACGACCGCAAGGUUGAAACUCAAAGGAAUUGACGGGGACCCGCACAAGCGGUGGAGCAUGUGGUUUAAUUCGAAGCAACGCGAAGAACCUUACCAAAUCUUGACAUCCUUUGACAACUCUAGAGAUAGAGCUUUCCCCUUCGGGGGACAAAGUGACAGGUGGUGCAUGGUUGUCGUCAGCUCGUGUCGUGAGAUGUUGGGUUAAGUCCCGCAACGAGCGCAACCCUUAAGCUUAGUUGCCAUCAUUAAGUUGGGCACUCUAAGUUGACUGCCGGUGACAAACCGGAGGAAGGUGGGGAUGACGUCAAAUCAUCAUGCCCCUUAUGAUUUGGGCUACACACGUGCUACAAUGGACAAUACAAAGGGCAGCGAAACCGCGAGGUCAAGCAAAUCCCAUAAAGUUGUUCUCAGUUCGGAUUGUAGUCUGCAACUCGACUACAUGAAGCUGGAAUCGCUAGUAAUCGUAGAUCAGCAUGCUACGGUGAAUACGUUCCCGGGUCU